AUACGUAGGGUGCAAGCGUUAUUCGGAAUUACUGGGCGUAAAGCGUGCGCAGGCGGUUUUGUAAGACAGAGGUGAAAUCCCCGGGCUCAACCUGGGAACUGCCUUUGUGACUGCAAAGCUAGAGUACGGCAGAAGGGGAUGGAAUUCCGCGUGUAGCAGUGAAAUGCGUAGAUAUGCGGAGGAACACCGAUGGCGAAGGCAAUCCCCUGGGCCUGUACUGACGCUCAUGCCCGAAAGCGUGGGGAGCAAACAGGAUUAGAUUCCCUGGUAGUCCACGCCCUAAACGAUGUCAACUGGUUGUUGGGUCUUAACGGACUCAGUAACGAAGCUAACGCGUGAAGUUGACCGCCUGGGGAGUACGGCCGCAAGGUUGAAACUCAAAGGAAUUGACGGGG
rnacentral:rRNA from 1 species